rnacentral:tRNA from 1 species
CCGCCGGCGACGGGCGCCGGGCGGCGCUCGCGGUGCAGCGGGCCGUGGCACUCGCGUGGUCGCUGCGGUUCGACGACGCAGUGGCGGUC